UCAUCAGCUGCAGUGUUACCUUGGGGUGAAGGUGAAACUGCUGCAGGGUUUGAAAUAACUGCUGUAAACUAGCUCAGUGUGAAGGCACCAUGUUGGACGGGCCAUCUGCACCUCCAUCCCUUAGCAGGCUACUGACAUUUUCAUCUUGGAUCCUGUUCAGUAAUAUUAUCAACGAGCCGCCCACAGAGGGUGAGUGACAGAGCCAGCCGUGGACGCCUGACCUCGGACCUGAAGGCUCCCAAACAUCAGGAGAAAAAGAAAACCCUGAAUAAUAACUGGGUUGGAGAGCCAAAAACAGAGAGCAAGGCUGUCAGAGAGAAGCCCAAAACAGUCAACUCCAACUUCUUCUGCUUUUUUGUGAAGGUGUCCCCACAGUCUGAAGAAAAACCAGACAAGCAAACACCCAAACCCAAGGAGCCCAAGUAGUGGCUGCCAGACAGACUGAAGGUCCAGUACUGGAUGGACAGAUACCAGGACCAUAAGGAGAAGAAGGAUGAGAAGAGGAAGCAGAAGGCUGAGGAUCAGUACGCUCGAUGGGCCGCCAUCAAGGCGAGCAGAGCCGGCCAUGCUUCCCGGCAGAACGACUCUUACGCUGGAGGGUUUUCUGCAAACAGAAACAGCAUCCUCAAAUCCUUAUUUUAAUGUUCUUUACUUUGUUUCUGUGUUGUUUUGUGAUUAAGCACAAUAAAAACUGUUGUGCAGUGAAAUCA